UGUUAAUAAUUUAUAUAUAAUAUUUUAUUAAUAUUUAUAUAGUAUUAACAUAAUUCAUAUUACUAUUUUAUAGUAUAUGAAAUUUUACUUUGAGAAAAUUAGAGUGCUUAAAGCAGGCAUUAGCCUUGAAUACUCCAGCAUGGAAUAAUAUAAAAGAUUUUAUCUUUUUUAUUGGUUCUAAGAUAAAAAUAAUGAUUAAUAGGGACAGUUGGGGGCAUUUGUAUUUAACAGUCAGAGGUGAAAUUCUUAGAUUUGUUAAAGACAAACUAGUGCGAAAGCAUUUGCCAAGGAUGUUUUCAUUAAUCAAGAACGAAAGUUAGGGGAUCGAAGACGAUCAGAUACCGUCGUAGUCUUAACCAUAAACUAUGCCAACUAGAGAUUGGAGGUUGUU
rnacentral:rRNA from 1 species